rnacentral:rRNA from 1 species
GGAGUUAGCCGGUGCUUCUUCUGUGAGUGAUGUCCUUCCUGCCGGCUAUUAACCCGCAGGCCUUCUUCCUCACUGAAAGUGCUUUACAACCCGAAGGCCUUCUUCACACACGCGGCAUGGCUGGAUCAGGGUUGCCCCCAUUGUCCAAUAUUCCCCACUGCUGCCUCCCGUAGGAGUCUGGGCCGUGUCUCAGUCCCAGUGUGGCUGAUCAUCCUCUCAGACCAGCUACGGAUCGUCGCCUUGGUGAGCCGUUACCUCACCAACCAGCUAAUCCGACAUAGGCUCAUCCGAUAGCGCGAGGCCCGAAGGUCCCCCGCUUUCCCCCGUAGGGCGUAUGCGGUAUUAGCCUGGGUUUCCCCAGGUUAUCCCCCACUACCGGGCAGAUUCCUAUGCAUUACUCACCCGUCCGCCGCUCGCCACCAGGGAGCAAGCUCCCCGUGCUGCCGCUCGACUUGCAUGUGUUAGGCCUGCCGCCACGCGUUCAUCUGAGCCAGAAUACAACUACUCGA